rnacentral:rRNA from 1 species
GACGGCUCAGUAACACGUGGCUAACCUACCCUCGGGUGGGGGAUAACCUCGGGAAACUGAGGAUAAUACCCCAUAGGAGAAGAGGUCUGGAAUGAUCCUUCUCUGAAAACAUAUGUGCCCGAGGAUGGGGCUGCGUCUGAUUAGGUAGUUGGUGGGGUAACGGCCCACCAAGCCUACGAUCAGUACGGGCCUUGAGAGAGGCAGCCCGGAGAUGGGGACUGAGACACGGCCCCAGGCCCUACGGGGCGCUGCAGGCGCGAAACCUCCGCAAUGCACGAAAGUGCGACGGGGGGACCCCAAGUGCUUACGCACUGCGUAGGCUUUUCUAAAGUGUAAAAAGCUUUAGGAAUAAGGGCUGGGCAAGUCCGGUGCCAGCAGCCGCGGUAACACCGGCGGCCCGAGUGGUGACCACUUUUAUUGGGCCUAAAGCGUCCGUAGCCGGUCCAGUAAGUCCCUGUUUAAAUCCUACGGCUUAACCGUAGGGCUGGCAGGGAUACUGCUGGACUUGGGACCGGGAGAGGGCGAGGGUACUUCAGGGGUAGCGGUGAAAUGUGUUGAUCCCUGGAGGACCACCUAUGGCGAAGGCACUCGCCUGGAACG